GGCAAGGUGGCUGAGCUAGGCGGUAAGCUGUAAACUUACUCACGAAUACCAUUUUUCUCUUGCC
rnacentral:tRNA from 2 species